rnacentral:rRNA from 1 species
UUUCCGCAUGGGCGAAAGCCUGACGGAGCAACGCCGCGUGAGGGAUGAAGGCCUCUGGGCUGUAAACCUCUUUUAUCAAGGAAGAAGAUCUGACGGUACUUGAUGAAUAAGCCACGGCUAAUUCCGUGCCAGCAGCCGCGGUAAUACGGGAGUGGCAAGCGUUAUCCGGAAUUAUUGGGCGUAAAGCGUCCGCAGGCGGCCCUUCAAGUCUGCUGUUAAAAAGUGGAGCUUAACUCCAUCAUGGCAGUGGAAACUGUUGGGCUUGAGUGUGGUAGGGGCAGAGGGAAUUCCCGGUGUAGCGGUGAAAUGCGUAGAUAUCGGGAAGAACACCAGUGGCGAAGGCGCUCUGCUGGGCCAUCACUGACGCUCAUGGACGAAAGCCAGGGGAGCGAAAGGGAUUAGAUACCCCUGUAGUCCUGGCCGUAAACGAUGAACACUAGGUGUCGGGGGAAUCGACCCCUCCGGUGUCGUAGCCAACGCGUUAAGUGUUCCGCCUGGGGAGUACGCACGCAA